rnacentral:rRNA from 1 species
GGCUCAGAACGAACGCUGGCGGCGCGUUUAAGCAUGCAAGUCGAGCGGCAAGGGCCUUCGGGCCCCUAGAGCGGCGGACGGGUGAGUAACACGUGGACAAUCUGCCCCCCGGCCCGGGAUAGCCCAGGGAAACCUGGAUUAAUACCGGAUGAGACGGGACCCGCGAUGGCGGGACCCGGGAAAGGCGCUGCGGCGCCGCCGGGGGAUGAGUCUGCGUCCCAUUAGCUAGACGGCGGGGUAACGGCCCACCGUGGCGACGAUGGGUAGCCGGCCUGAGAGGGUGGACGGCCACAUUGGAACUGAGACACGGUCCAGACUCCUACGGGAGGCAGCAGCUAAGAAUCUUCCGCAAUGGGCGAAAGCCUGACGGAAGCGACGCCGCGUGAACGAAGAAGGCCGUGAGGUUGUAAAGUUCUUUUCGGGAGGGGGAACAACCGUGGCAGGGAAUGGCCGCGGGAUGACGUGAAUCCCGGAAUAAGCCCCGGCUAACUACGUGCCAGCCGCGGC